ensembl:lncRNA
CUCAAAUUCUGUCAUUCUAGUCAGAAGGCUGGUAACUCUGGUCCUAUCCUGAGAGUUUUCAAAUGAGAUAUAAAGAAGAAAAGCAGUCUUUUUCACAAUGAAGAGAUGAGACAUCAAAAGUCAGGUUCUUCAGAACAGAAGGUUGCCGUGUCUAGUAAGAGAAAGCUGACUCAGAGGAGCAGAAAUGAGAGCUGGCUGGAGAGAGUUUAGUGAUGUCUCUGUUCCUGUGAUCCUGGAAGUCCAGCUGAAUCCACGCCCUUCCUGAGAUUUUCCUGCUCAGGACCUUAUUUCCUUGACCAGAGAUUGAACCCAUAAUCACUGCGGUAGAAGCACAGAAUCCU